UGGUCGCAGAUCACAGGACCCUGAUCAGCCAUGCCCGCGUGUAUGAUGAAGGCCUUCGGGUUGUAAAGUACUUUUGGCAGAGAAGAAAAGGUAUCUCCUAAUACGAGAUACUGCUGACGGUAUCUGCAGAAUAAGCACCGGCUAACUACGUGCCAGCAGCCGCGGUAAUUA
rnacentral:rRNA from 1 species